rnacentral:lncRNA from 1 species
UUCGGGAAGAUUGAUCAUUUAAAUGCACACUGAAAAUAAUUUCUAUUGCGUAAAGGCCAUAUAAUGCUUUAAUAAAGAUACGUACAAGCUGCUCUGACAAACUUGUUUUAUAGAAGACUUGUAUGAAGCCUUCAAUGAUUGUUUUUAGCAAUAAGCAAGGGGCUUCUGCGCUAAUUCUGUUCAUCUGAAUGUGUCUCUAGUGUUUUUGUUCUUUUACUGUUUUGUUGUCCUUAGUUUGCUAGCAUCUGUAAUGCUCAUUUAUAGAGAUUUUGUAAGAUUUGUUUUUCUUCUAAGGCACAUUAUCUUGAGAUUUUUUAUGCACAAGAAUAUAAAGGUUCACAUUUAUUCAGUUCUCACUGGGGUUAUUUCACUGCGUGUACAGGUACCCGUCCAGGCAGCUCUAUCGGGUAGCUGCUGAGAGAUUGGUCACCGCUCAUCCACACCUUGCAGAUAGGGUCGGUUGCAGCCUGGAAUCAUGGGUGAUGGCCCUGAGGAACAAGUUCCAACAACACAGGAAAAAAGCUACAAAACUGCUCGGAGGAAAUGCUAAUUCGAAAGAAAUGCUGUCUGCCAAAGCAAAUGCAGGCACCAUCUGAAGAAGUGGCAAACAACAAAUUGUGCCGUCUUUUUGACUGCAGCCAUCUUACUACAUAUGGAGAAACCGUUGAGUCCUUGCAAAUUCAUAACGAAAGGCUCCAGAAUAAUGCAGCCUGCCACGAUGAAGCAACAGGAAGGCCAAGGUUGCGGGCAACAGCACUGGACAGGCAUAAAGAGCUUCGCAGCCUCACCCUGUCGGAUGCUCUUUUACUGUUUCCAUUUCUUGGAACUGAGGCAUUGGAACAAGCCCUGCUCACACCUUGCCUUGUG